rnacentral:rRNA from 1 species
AGUGAACGCUGGCGGUAGGCCUAACACAUGCAAGUCGAACGGCAGCACAGUAAGAGCUUGCUCUUACGGGUGGCGAGUGGCGGACGGGUGAGGAAUACAUCGGAAUCUACUUUUUCGUGGGGGAUAACGUAGGGAAACUUACGCUAAUACCGCAUACGACCUACGGGUGAAAGCAGGGGAUCUUCGGGCCUUGCGCGAUUGAAUGAGCCGAUGUCGGAUUAGCUAGUUGGCGGGGUAAAGGCCCACCAAGGCGACGAUCCGUAGCUGGUCUGAGAGGAUGAUGGGCACACCGGGAACUGAGCCCCGGUCCAGACCCCAACGGGGGGCAGCGGUGGGGAAUUUUCGACAAUGGGCGCAAGCCUGAGCCAGCCAUACCGCUGAGGUGAAGAGGGCUUUCGGGUUGUAAAGCCCGUUUGUUGGGAAAGAAAAGUAUCAGGUUAAUACCCCGCUGCUCUGACGGUACCCAAAGAAUAAGCACCGGUUAACUUCUG